UUAGAAGUGCCUUGUGUUUUGAA
rnacentral:siRNA from 1 species